rnacentral:rRNA from 1 species
AUACGUAGGGGGCGAGCGUUGUCCGGAAUGAUUGGGCGUAAAGGGCGCGUAGGCGGCCCGGUAAGUCUGGAGUGAAAGUCCUGUUUUUAAGAUGGGAAUUGCUUUGGAUACUGUCGGGCUUGAGUGCAGGAGAGGUAAGUGGAAUUCCCAGUGUAGCGGUGAAAUGCGUAGAGAUUGGGAGGAACACCAGUGGCGAAGGCGACUUACUGGACUGUAACUGACGCUGAGGCGCGAAAGUGUGGGGAGCAAACAGGAUUAGAUACCCUGGUAGUCCACACUGUAAACGAUGAUGGCUAACCGCUGGGCUUAUCAGUUCAGUGGCCAAGCGAAAGCGAUAAGCCAUCCACCUGGGGAGUACGACCGCAAGGUUGAAACUUAAAGGAAUUGGCGGGG